UCUAAGAAUAAGAAAAGUGUAAAUCACCAUAGAAAUUCUUACGAAAAGAGCAUGUAGACUGUUUGGAUAAAUCCAUAGAAAUAACUUUUCUACUUCUGGAAGUAGAAAAGCCAAAAGCUCGUUUGGGUGUUAGUUUUGGAAACGAAAUUUAGAAGUAGAAAACUUACUUUUUCUCGGAGCCAAAUGUUUUUGCUUCUCUCAGAAGUUGCUUCUCCUAGUUAUUUGUGUCCCUCGUUUUCCUUAUCUCCUCGUUAUUGAACUCCAUACUUCGACGGAACUCACAGAAGAAAUAAAAUCAAAAGAGCAAUGGAAAAAGAAGAAAUUUAUGGCCGGAAGAGUUAUAGCAGUUAUUACAAGGAAAGAAGUGAAUUGGGUUUAAAGAAUAUGUUAUUAUGGUUUCCAAUACUCAAAUGUUCAUGGAAUUGAAAUUGUUAAAUUGAUGGAACUGCAAUUGUUACUGGGACCCGACACCAACCCCGUUGCUCCCGUAUCUUAAGGAAGUACCGCAGCUUUCUCGAAUUUUGGAGCAGGACUAAAGAUAAGUUACACCUAAGAUUAAACAGUUAAAAAGUCAUCGUUCCCUCGUUUUUUGAAUUUUUUUUUUGUGAAUACAAAAACUCUGAUGCCGGAAUUAUGUUUGUUUGGCUGCAUAAAUUUGCUUCGCAGCAAGCAAUGUAAGUGAUGAUUUAUGUUUUCUUCGUAACACUUAAUUUUAUGGUAUCAAAUAUAUUUUGACUUCUA